ACACGUGAGGGUGGUCUGGCUCUGUCUGUCCUCGAUCGCCAGGGCUGAUUCGGUCAGUCUGGCUGGGUAGGCAGGCAUCCCUCCCUCACUGUUGCAUGCGGGUGCCUCUGCAGCUGAGCGCUCUGUUGAAGAGGACAACCUUCCCUGAAAGAGGAGGACCAUUCUUCUGUCCACGGCAUAUGCUAGAACCUCCAAACAAGCCCCCCAGAUUCCUCACCCACAGAAGGUCCCUCAUGGCCUAUGU
rnacentral:sRNA from 1 species